rnacentral:rRNA from 1 species
CAGUAGCCGCGGUAACACGUAGGGUGCAAGCGUUAAUCGGAAUUACUGGGCGUAAAGCGUGCGCAGGCGGUUCGGAAAGAAAGAUGUGAAAUCCCAGGGCUUAACCUUGGAACUGCAUUUUUAACUCCCGGACUAGAGUAUGUCAGAGGGGGUGGAAUUCCACGUGUAGCAGUGAAAUGCGUAGAUAUGUGGAGGAACACCGAUGGCGAAGGCAGCCCCCUGGGAUAAUACUGACGCUCAUGCACGAAAGCGUGGGGAGCAAACAGGAUUAGAUACCCCAGUAGUCCCUGUCUCUUAUACA